UACGUAGGGUCCGAGCGUUGUCCGGAAUUAUUGGGCGUAAAGAGCUCGUAGGCGGUUUGUCGCGUCUGCUGUGAAAUCCCGAGGCUCAACCUCGGGCCUGCAGUGGGUACGGGCAGACUGGAGUACGGUAGGGGCAGAGGGAAUUUCCGGUGGAGCGGUGAAAUGCAUUGAGAUCGGAAAGAACACCAACGGCGAAAGCACUCUGCUGGGCCACUACUGACGCUGAGGAGCGAAAGCGUGGGGAGCGAACAGG
rnacentral:rRNA from 1 species